rnacentral:tRNA from 1 species
GCCGGUGUGGCUCAGCGGGUAGAGCUUCGGCCUGCAGACCCAAGGGUCCCAGGUUCAAUUCCAGUCAAGGGCA